AAGGCUUUAGCUUAAUGAAAGUGUCUGAGUUGCAUUCAGGGGAUAUAAAUUAGAGUUUUAUAGGUCUUA
rnacentral:tRNA from 1 species